AGUUAGCUCAGUCGGUUAGAGCAUGGUGCUGAUAAUACCAAGGCUGCAGGUUCGAUCCCCACU
rnacentral:tRNA from 1 species